GUCUAUUUGAAGAUAUAAAAAGUCUAGCCUGCCCCCUGAGUGUUUUAAGGGCCGCAGAAUUUUAACUGUGCGAAGGUAGCAUAAUAAUUAGGUUUUUAAUUGAAAUCUUGUAUGAAUGGUUGAACAAAUGAAAGACUGUCUUUAUAUUAUAAUUUGAAUUUAACUUUUAAGUGAAAAGGCUUAAAUAUUCUAAAAAGACGAUAAGACCCUAUAAAACUUUACAUUAAGAUUAAAUAAAAUUGAAGUUUAAGAUAAAAAUUAAUUUAAUUAUUUGUUAUGUUGGGGAGAUAAAGGUAAAAUGUGUGUAACUGCUUGAAAUUAAAACAAAUAUUUAUGAGAAUAAAAGAUCCUUAAUUAAAGAUUAAAAGAUUAAGUUACUUUAGGGAUAACAGCGUUAUUUUUUUUGAGAGUUCUUAUCGAAAAAAAAGUUUACGACCUCGAUGUUGAAUUAAAAUUUCUAUAUAAUGCAGGUGUUAUAUAAGAAGGUCUGUUCGACCUUUAAAAUUUUACAUGAUUUGAGUUCAAACCGGUGUGAG
rnacentral:rRNA from 1 species